GCCUGUGAAGCAGCGCUUAUGGUCGGGAUCACGCGUCCCUGCGCUAGGGCUCAGACUGGAGGAAUCGGAGGCCUCAACGAGCCGCUGGAGUCCUCCUGGCAGUCUCCGAGGCGUGGGCUGCUGCCAGAUCACUGCCUUCCAGACGAAUGUUGCACUAAUUUGACAACUACCCAUGGAUAAGGGAAUCUCUGUGGGAGUCUCAGAGUUCAGCGGGGAAGUUCCAGCACACAACUGGAUCACAUAAUAAAAACUGAGAGUAGAUGCAUUGAAGAGGGAUGAUGCAGUAGGAAGGCCCUUGCAGGAUGCCAGCGCUCUGACAGACUUUGC